rnacentral:rRNA from 1 species
CUGGCGGCGUGCCGUAAUACAUGCAAGUCGUACGAGGGAAGUCCAGCUUGCUGGACGGAACGAGUGGCGAACGGGUGAGUAAUACGUAAGCAACCUGCCUAGCAAGGACUGGGAUAACACCUGGAAACGGGCGCUAAUACCGGAUAGGUAACAAAGGGGCAUCCCUAUGUUAUUAAAGGUUAGAAACACAAGCAGAUGGGCUUACGGUGCAUUAGCUAGUUGGUGAGGUAACGGCCCACCAAGGCGAUGAUGCCAUAGCCGGCCUGAGAGGGUGAACGGCCACAUUGGGACUGAGACACGGCCCAAACUCCUACGGGAGGCAGCAGUGGGGGAUAUUGCACAAUGGGGGAAACCCUGAUGCAGCGACGCCGCGUGAAGGAUGACGUAUUUCGGUAUGUAAACUUCUAUCAGCGGGGAAGAAGAUGACGGUACCCGACUAAGAAGCCCCGGCUAACUACGUGCCAGCCGCAGC